rnacentral:snoRNA from 1 species
AAUCACACAGGAAAUACUACAAUGAAUCAAUAACUGAGAUGACAUCAUAUUAAAAAGCUUUUGCUGGCCAGUCCUGGUGUCUGAGUGAUU